UGGAAGACCUUUCCUACAAAAAGGAGGAAGGGGAGGUGGCAACUGCAGUCCAGACCGAGCCUAUCCCCAGGGUGUGUGGAGAUCCACCCCCACUGGAAAGGCCAGAUGUCAUCCUGCCUAUCCUGAAGGAUGACAGAUCCUACAUGCUCUGUGGAUAUUGGGCUGAUGGGUCUGAAACACCAGUGCAGGUUUCUGCUGAGCCUUGGCACCUUACAACCCAGCAGCCCAUCUGCUGUGCUGAGGCCAUUGUGGUAGAAGAUGCCUCAAGCCAAAAGGAGGAAGGAGAGGUGGCAUCUCCAGACCUGGCCAAGGCAAACCUCAGGGUGUGUGAAGACCCACCCCCACUGAAAGGGCCAGAUGUCAUCAUGCCUAUCCUCAAGGAUGAUGGGUCCUACAUGCUCUGUGGAUUUUGGGCAGAUGAUGAUGCUGAAGCUCCAAUCUGGGCCUGUGUUGGGGCCUGGCAUCCUACAAUCCAGCAGCCCAUCUGCUGUACUGAGGCCAUUGUGGGUGAGUCCUUUGAUGGGAAUCUUGCUGAGACCUGCUGAACCUCCUGAGACCAUCCCAAUAACCCUGACCUGCUUGCUGUAACCCCCCAGGAAAGGAGGUGAUGGGUAGGCAAUCACAUGGCUACAUCUGUAUGGACAAAUGCUGAAUACUGGGUGGGGCUACAGCACACAUGUCAUGUAGGCUUGUGUUUCUUAACCUGAGAGUUCCUGGGAGGGAGUUCUCCUUUGGUUGGCAAAGACUUGCCAUUGGAAGCAUGUGCUCCUGGGUGUGACACUCUUUUUAGCAAGGUAAUGCCACAACUAGAUGGCAUGGAUGUCUCUAAGUUGUGUGAUGGUGGGCAGUACCUGAGCUUUACUGUGCCAUCGCAUUUGCAUAUCAUCCCAGUUACCACAUCCGGCCCCAUUUUUACUCUCUGCAGUGGAAAACCCCUACCACCAAAAGGAGGAAGUGGAGUUGGCAUCUACAGACCAGGCCAAGGCUAUCCCCAUGUAAACGUUCAGAUGGGUUCAGGGUGUUUCAGCAUGGCCAUCUGGAGAUUGCACACAGGAAGGAGAGAAUGUGCCCCAAGGGCCAUUUAUACCAUUCAAAACUUCUCCCACAGAGACUCUGAGAGCACCUCUCCAAACCUCCAUGUGCUGUUGAGGUCCCCAAAGACUGUCCAGUCAACUCCCCCCAACAUCCACUGAACACCUGCAUAGUUACCUUGGGAACCAGUCAGCAGUCCAAGUCAUUUCUAAUACCGCUGCUUCUGUGUGGCCUCCAUUAAAGUGAGAGGCCUCUCCCUCAGCCCCUCUGCUCGUCCCUAAUCAGCAUCCCUGUGUUACAUUCAUAAAGACAGGGAUUCCAAUGCCCGGAUGCAAGCUACAGUGCUGAUGUAAUUAGGACACAUCCUGAAGUGGUCUGGGGUGCUAAAGUGCUUUAGCUGGGUGGUAACAUUCCACAACAAGGUGAUUCUGUUUCCUGCAACUAGACAACUGGCUUCUGGCCAGCUUGUCCUUCUCUGUCCCCAGGGGGUUUUGAGAGUGGGUACCAGAGCCC
rnacentral:lncRNA from 1 species